UGAUAGUCGGUGCACUACCAAGACGUGAA
rnacentral:piRNA from 1 species